rnacentral:snoRNA from 1 species
AGGCAGCCUCUAUGCUUGAUUUAACCGCAUAUGAAGGUGUUAAUUUGCCCAUAAAUAAAAAUCUUUUGCUCUUCUGACUUGCUGAGAAGAAUAGUAUUCUUCUUUGAAGCUUGGCUAGUAAGCCUAAGUUAAGU